GACGAACGCUGGCGGCGUGCUUAACACAUGCAAGUCGAACGGAAAGGCCCUGCUUUUGUGGGGUGCUCGAGUGGCGAACGGGUGAGUAACACGUGAGUAACCUGCCCUUGACUUUGGGAUAACUUCAGGAAACUGGGGCUAAUACCGGAUAGGAGCUCCUGCUGCAUGGUGGGGGUUGGAAAGUUUCGGCGGUUGGGGAUGGACUCGCGGCUUAUCAGCUUGUUGGUGGGGUAGUGGCUUACCAAGGCUUUGACGGGUAGCCGGCCUGAGAGGGUGACCGGCCACAUUGGGACUGAGAUACGGCCCAGACUCCUACGGGAGGCAGCAGUGGGGAAUAUUGCACAAUGGGCGGAAGCCUGAUGCAGCAACGCGGCGUGCGGGAUGACGGCCUUCGGGUUGUAAACCGCUUUCGCCUGUGACGAGGCGUGAGUGACGGUAAUGGGUAAAGAAGCACCGGCUAACUACGUG
rnacentral:rRNA from 1 species